AUAGGGGUAUUCUCUUGCUCUUGCAAAACCCUUGCACGGUGCAAAAAUUGCAUAUAUUUCCUCUUGGUGCACCGGCACAACAACAAAUACACGCAGAAAAUUAUUUGCAAUGGCUGUAAAAUAGGUCAGAUCAAAACCUAUGUAUAUUUGCAUCCAAUGUCACGUAAAAAUAUAAUUGCAACCCUGUUUUAGCUGUCAUUUUACAUAAAGACAUAUUACGUCGUUAAAUUGUAGAGGAAGUUUUAUACAAACAUGAAUACCGAAGUUGCGCCCCCAGCGAAGAGGAAAAGGCAGCAGCCAAACAAGAAGUGGAAGGAGAGUGAGGUGCACUCUAUAAUAGUUUUUAAUGGAAGAGGCGGAAUUUGAGGCUCCAACUGCGCAGUUGUUUUAUAAACGAUUUUUACAUAAAUCGCAGUUGGAUGUUUCAUGGGAUCUGGUGCGGUGGAAGGUCCGACAUUUGAAGGCGCAGUACCGUAAAGCCAAUGACUGACUCGCGUCAACGGGUGCAGGACUACAAAAUGAAGCUUACGGCAGAACCAUCGAAGCAAAAAUUGCUAAAAUGUGUCCAUUCUACGACCAGCUGAGGGAAAUAUUUGGAAAGCGGUUGCCGGCCAUGCAAACGUGACUGGUUGAAAGCAACCUUCCUUCGCCUCAGGUAUGUCCAGUUAGUCCUGCACCAGAAUUCGAAAUAGAAUUCUUAUCAACAACAUGGUAUCAACAUACCAACAGUCAAUUCGGCCUCCGAAAUCAUCUGUUGGACAAUUGGCGGCUAUCUAAGCAGAAAAAAUUGCUAUGGAAGCGAAAAAACUGGAGUUUGAUAAAUAUAAAUUCGGGGAGGAAAAGAAAAUUCAAGAAAGAAAGUCGGAUAUUGAGUCAAAAAAUUAGAAAUAGAGUUGAAAAAAAUAGAAACUGAGGAAAAAUGCAAGAUGUUAGAAUUACAAAUGAAAAAAAG